GUUUCCGUGCGUGUUGGUGUUGUUACUCCUGUACUAGUUUCUGUGUCAGUGUUUUUAACUUCUGAGCUUGUGACUGUGAUUUAACUGAUUUCCUUUGAAGCACUAGAAGACAUUAAUUCAAGAUGGUCUCCAGGACUCAACUAGCUAAUUUUGGUUACAAGACAUUCACGGUCUGCAUGUUGGCGAUAACUGGAUACAGCGGUGCUUUAUUAGCGUCCCUCGCAUAUAACCACUUUAAGAAACAAAAACAGAUAAAGAUUGAAUCAAUGUCAGAGAAACCAUCAGCAACAAGUUAACUUAAUCUGCAACUCUACAUGGUUGAAUGAAAGAUCCGCAAGAAAUGUAAUCCUUCAUUCAGUGAACUCUUGAAAAGCUGAGAAGAACUUGCACAUGUUGAUAUCAUGUACGAAUAGUUUUUCUGCUGUAUCCCAAACGCAGUCUGGCAGAUUGGAAAAAAAAACUGCUUUUGAGAAUGUGUGAUACUGACAAACUUUUUUAUUAUUUUGUUUUGAUUACUUUGGUUUUAUCAGGAGUUCAAAUUUAUGCUAAUCUAGCUUUGAUGAAUCAAAUCAGUUUUGGUCGUACAGUACAGUCUCAUUAAACUAUGGUCUUGGGAAAUGUUACAAAGUCACAAUAUUAGUGCAGUGGGUCACUAAUGACUUGCAUUGUUGUUGUAGGAUGGGCUUCUGUUAAAAAUCUAAAACCAACAAAGAUGUUAUUUGGGGUUGGGGUAAGGAAAACAAGACUGGAAUUUGAAUAGUCCAAAGCAAGGACGUACUGACAUGUUAGUAACUUACAUGUAUGUCCAAAGUGACAGCAGAUUUGACUUCUAGUGUAAAUGUUAAUUAUUUAGUGGUAUGACAAAUUUCUCCUAAUAGAACAAAUUUUACUUUGAUUUCAACAUCCUUGCUUGUGUUCAUAAAUAUAACUAUGGAUAUUUCACCUUGCUUCUGUGCCCAUAAGUAACAAAAAUUUGGGUAAAUUGCGAAAGAAACUACAUGAUCCCCACAAGAAGCUAAUUAAUCAACAAGCAUCUGAGGGCAUUACCAAAAAUGCUCAUUUUAUAAAGCACUUGAAGUGUUUAAACAGUGCAUGUAAAUUAAAAGUAUAUGAUUAUAUUUGAA